UAUUUCGCACCUCGCAAAUGUUAUUUAAUAUUUCCUUUUCAUCUCCACCUCCCACGUUCUCAUUCUCUCUAUUUUUCCAUUUCCACUCUGCCUCCCACACUUGCAUCAUUCACUGAAGAAAAACAAAAUAUUCACAGAACCUUUAACCCAACAAGAACCUCACAAGCUGCAUCGUUCCUUCCAAACCUUCCACAAGUUGCAAUCUCGUUUCAAGCCUUCUCACAAGAUACAAUUGUUUGUUCCUUUCUAGGGUUUCAACAUUUGGGUUCAGGUCUUUUCUCUCGGAUGGAUGCGAAAUAAGAUGGCUCGAGUUAGAGUGAUACAAUAAAUUGACAUUGGCCUUGAAGUGUUUUGGCUUGCUCUUUACUUUGUUGCUGUAGUCAAUCUUGCUGCUCUUUACUUUGUUGCUGUAGUCACUCUUGCUGCACUUGUUGGACAGCAUUUGGUGAGGUGAUAAUCAUUAGUUUUGGCCUUUUUUAAUGUUCACUGCUUUGAUUAUUCUUGCUGCACUUGUUUAAUGUUCAACUGAUAUUUUGAUAAUCAUUAGUUUUGUUUUUUCUAUCAUUAGGGGCUGUUUGUGUUAAUUAAGGAUGAUAGAUGUU